rnacentral:rRNA from 1 species
UACGAAGGGGGCUAGCGUUGUUCGGAAUCACUGGGCGUAAAGCGCACGCAGGCGGAUCGUUAAGUCAGGGGUGAAAUCCCGAGGCUCAACCUCGGAACUGCCUUUGAUACUGGCGAUCUUCGAGUCCGGGAGAGGUGAGUGGAACUCCGAGUGUAGAGGUGAAAUUCGUAGAUAUUAGGAAGAACACCAGUGGCGAAGGCGGCUCACUGGCCCGGUACUGACGCUGAGGCGCGAAAGCGUGGGGAGCAAACAGG